GUGAGGAAUAUUGGUCAAUGGGCGAGAGCCUGAACCAGCCAUGCCGCGUGCAGGAAGACGGCCCUAUGGGUUGUAAACUGCUUUUGUUUGGGAAUAAAAGGCGCUACGUGUAGUGCACUGAAGGUACCAGAUGAAUAAGCAUCGGCUAACUCCGUGCCAGCAGCCGCGGUAAUACGGAGGAUGCGAGCGUUAUCCGGAUUUAUUAGGUUUAAAGGGUGUGUAGGCGGAAGACUAAGUCAGUGGUGAAAUCCCUCAGCUUAACUGGGGAACUGCCAUAGAUACUGGUUUUCUUGAGUACAGUUGAAGUAGGCGGAAUGUGUAAUGUAGCGGUGAAAUGCUUAGAUAUUACACAGAACACCGAUUGCGAAGGCAGCUUGCUAAGCUGUUACUGACGCUGAUGCACGAAAGCGUGGGGAGCGAACAGGAUUAGAAACCCCGGUAGUCC
rnacentral:rRNA from 1 species